rnacentral:tRNA from 1 species
GCCUGGGUAGCUCAGUGGUUGAGCGUCUGCCUUUUGCUCAGGUCGUGAUCCCAGGGUCCUGGGAUCGAGUCUCACCUGGGCU